UUUAUGGAGAGUUUGAUCCUGGCUCAGGAUGAACGCUGGCGGCGUGCCUAAUACAUGCAAGUCGAGCGAACGGACGAGAAGCUUGCUUCUCUGAUGUUAGCGGCGGACGGGUGAGUAACACGUGGAUAACCCACCUAUAAGACUGGGAUAACUUCGGGAAACCGGAGCUAAUACCGGAUAAUAUUUU
rnacentral:rRNA from 1 species